rnacentral:rRNA from 1 species
GCCCUUAGAGUUUGAUCCUGGCUCAGGACGAACGCUGGCGGCGUGCUUAACACAUGCAAGUCGAGCGGAAAGGCCCUUCGGGGUACUCGAGCGGCGAACGGGUGAGUAACACGUGAGCAACCUGCCCCAGGCUUUGGGAUAACCCCGGGAAACCGGGGCUAAUACCGAAUAUGACCUCCGAUCGCAUGGUCGGUGGUGGAAAGUUUUUCGGCUUGGGAUGGGCUCGCGGCCUAUCAGCUUGUUGGUGGGGUGAUGGCCUACCAAGGCGACGACGGGUAGCCGGCCUGAGAGGGCGACCGGCCACACUGGGACUGAGACACGGCCCAGACUCCUACGGGAGGCAGCAGUGGGGAAUAUUGCACAAUGGGCGGAAGCCUGAUGCAGCGACGCCGCGUGAGGGAUGACGGCCUUCGGGUUGUAAACCUCUUUCAGCAGGGACGAAGCGUAAGUGACGGUACCUGCAGAAGAAGCGCCGGCCAACUACGUGCCACAG